AAGUCGUAACAAGGUCUCCGUUGGUGAACCAGCGGAGGGAUCAUUAUCGAGUUGCAAAACUCCAACCCUUUGUGAACAUACCUCAGUCGUUGCUUCGGCGGUGGACGGCCUGUUUUUCAGAACGGCCGGAAGCCGCCGGAGGUUCCAAACUCGUAUUUUUUAGUGUAUCUCUGAGCCUGAAAACAAAUAAUCAAAACUUUCAACAACGGAUCUCUUGGUUCUG
rnacentral:misc_RNA from 1 species